rnacentral:rRNA from 1 species
UACAGAGGUCCCAAGCGUUGUUCGGAUUCACUGGGCGUAAAGGGUGCGUAGGUGGCGAGGUAAGUCGGAUGUGAAAUCUCCGAGCUCAACUCGGAAAUGGCAUUGGAAACUACCUUGCUCGAGGGUUGGAGGGGGGACUGGAAUACUUGGUGUAGCAGUGAAAUGCGUAGAUAUCAAGUGGAACACCAGUGGCGAAGGCGAGCCCCUGGACAACUCCUGACACUGAGGCACGAAAGCUAGGGGAGCAAACAGG